CCUUCUCAGUCACUGUUGGAACUCCCCUCACUGUUAGGCUAGCAGGACAUGUAGGUCUGGAUGGAAGUCACUAGGGAGAAUUUUUAAUCUCGUGACUUUUAUUAGAACACAAGAGCAGAAGCAUAAACCGCAUUAUUGCUGAAGGAAGCUGGUCUGAGAAGCUGUAUUCCCACAUGCAUAUGAGUAUUCUGAAAUAUGUAACAGAAUAUAUGGAUUUGUGUCACCCAGUUGACAUUCUGAGCACAAAGAGAAGACUGCAUUAAAUGAGAGGAGAUCAAGAAAGAUCAGAAAGCCAGAGACAUCUGCUGAAGCUAAAGGCCAUCUCA
rnacentral:lncRNA from 1 species